rnacentral:rRNA from 1 species
AGGAUUAGAAUACCCUGGGAGGUCCACGCUGUUCACCUGGAUCAGUGAGUGUUAGACGGUAUUUUCUGAGAUCGCAACUGAAAACGAUAAGUCAUCCACCUGGGGAGUACGUCCUAGCAGUCGAAACUCAAAAAAAUUGACGGGUGCCCGCACAAGCGACGGAACAUGUGAUAUAAUUCGCUGCUCGCGAGGAACCAUGCCGGGAUCCAACCCCCACGCUAGCAUCCUAACUCCACCUUCCUUUUACAUUCACUUCCAAUGUGCUGCAGUAGCGUGGUCAGCUCGUGCGUUGAGGUGUUGGGCUAAGUCCCGCACCGAGCGCAACCCCUAAUUCUUGUUGCGACCAUUUCGGAUGCUGACUCUAGACCGACUGCCUUGGCAAAAAGUGAGGAAGGCGGGGACGAGGUGAAGUCAUCACGGCCCCUCCGCCCCGGGCUACACACGUGUUACAAUGGACGGGAUAAAGGUUAGCCAACCUGCGAAGGUUAGCCAAUCCCCAAAACCCAUUCUCAGUUCGGACUGGAGUCCGCCACUAGACUCC